GGCCCCGCGCUGACCCACUUUCCCUCCUGCCUCCUCAGCCCGAGGCCGAGAAUCCAGCGGCCGCCGCCAAGCAGAUCUGUGGCUGGGCAGCAGCUGCUGAGCUCAACUACAAUUCCAGCCUGCUUUACAGUUAGGCUUGUCCACAGGACCAAGUUCUCAGUGACAGAGUAAGAGCAGGCCUGUGAUAGGAGCCUCUUCUGUACCUCGGCCUCCAAGCUGCCUAGAAUCUGGCUGUGGCAGUGCCCAAGGGGAGGCGAGCAGCAGGAGAGAAGGGUCCUGGGGUUUGGGGGGACCAGGAGGAGCAGAGCUGCUGCUCAGCUCAGAUCCAUAACCUGAGAAAGAAAGAGGGAUGGCACAUUUUAUGUGUUAACUUAAAUAUCUGGCUACAUCGCUCAGAUAUUUGAUUAGACACUAUUCUAGAUGUUUUUAUGAAGGUAUUGAUUAAUUGAUUGAUUGAUUGAGACAGUCUCACUCUGUUGCCCAGGCUGGAGUGCGGUGGCACAAUCUUGGCUCACUGCAACCUCCACCUCCCAGGUUCAAGUGAUUCUCGUGCCUCAGCCUCCCAAGUAGCUGGGAUUACAGGCAUGUGCCACCAUGCCUGGCUAAUUUUUGUAUUUUUAGUAGAGAUGGGGUUUCACCAUGUUGGCCAGGCUGGUCUCCUGACCUGAAGUGAUCUGCCCACCUUGGCUUCCCAAAGUGCUGGGAUUACAGGCCUGAGCUACCACAACCGGUGAAAGUACUUUUUAAGAUAAGAUUAGCAUUUAAAUCAGAAGAUUUUGAGUAAAGCAGAUUAUUCUCCACAAUGUGGGCAGAUCUCAUCCCAUCAGUUGAAGACCUUAAGAGAAAAGAGACUGACCUGCUCUGAGCAAGGAGGAAUUCUGCUGGCCAACUGCUUGUGAACUCCAACUUGUAAUAUCGGUCUCCAGCCUACCGGCUUACUCUGCAGAUUUUGGAUUUGCCAAGCCUCCACAACCGCAGAAGCCAAUUCCUUAAAAUGAAUCCCUUACAACAGUUCCC
rnacentral:lncRNA from 10 species